rnacentral:rRNA from 1 species
CAGUAGCCGCGGUAAUACGAACCGUGCGAACGUUAUUCGGAAUUACUGGGCUUAAAGCGCGUGUAGGCGGGCCGCCACGUCGGUUGCUGAAAUCCCCCGGCUCAACCGGGGAAGUGGCAUCGAUACGAGCGGCCUUGAGGGGGGCAGGGGGAUCUGGAACUCCCGGUGGAGCGGUGAAAUGCGUUGAGAUCGGAAGGAACGCCCGUGGCGAAAGCGAAGUCCUGGACCCUUUCUGACGCUGAGACGCGAAAGCCAGGGGAGCGAACGGGAUUAGAUACCCCCGUAGUCCCUGUCUCUUAUU